ACAAGAGAAGGUUGGUACUGGAGGGAGGUGCUGCACCCACUGUUCAGAGGCACCUGCUGGCCAAACUACAAACACCAUAGAAAUAGAGACCACCUUUGCAAAACAAUACUAUGGAUGUGCAGCACUUUACUAUGCUAGAUGGAUGAGAACUUAGAGGAAGAUUGUUCAGAAAGAGGCUACUGAACAACUGAUUGCACGAUCCUCCCAACCAUCCCCAAGCAACAGUGAACCUGAUUAAGAGAUACCAGGCAAUUAAAUAAGGAAGAAAUUCCCAGGAAACAUGAACUGAAGAGAAAAAUACUGCAUUUAAUGCAGUAUGGCAGUAGUAUUUGUCCUAAACAGCUGAAAAGAUAAGUCAUAGUAAGACCAUUAAAAUAUCUUUAAUGAAGGAA